rnacentral:rRNA from 1 species
GACGAACGCUGGCGGCGUGCUUAACACAUGCAAGUCGAACGGAAAGGCCCUGCUUUUGUGGGGUGCUCGAGUGGCGAACGGGUGAGUAACACGUGAGUAACCUGCCCUUGACUUUGGGAUAACUUCAGGAAACUGGGGCUAAUACCGGAUAGGAGCUCCUGCUGAAUGGUGGGGGUUGGAAAGUUUCGGCGGUUGGGGAUGGACUCGCGGGUUAUCAGCUUGUUGGUGGGGUAGUGGCUUACCAAGGCUUUGACGGGUAGCCGGCCUGAGAGGGUGACCGGCCACAUUGGGACUGAGAUACGGCCCAGACUCCGACGGGAGGCAGCAGUGGGGAAUAAUGCACGAUGGGCGGAAGCCUGAUGCAGGCACGCCGCGUGCGGGAUGACGGCCUUCGGGUUUUAAACCGCUUUCGCCUGUGACGAAGCGUGAGUGAAGGUAAUGUGUAAAGAAGCACCGGCUAACUCCGUG